ACGCUCGACACCUACGGGAGGCAGCGGUGGGGAAUAUUGCACAAUGGGGGAAACCCUGAUGCAGCGACGCCGCGUGAGCGAAGAAGUAUUUCGGUAUGUAAAGCUCUAUCAGCAGGGAAGAAACUGACGGUACCUGACUAAGAAGCACCGGCUAAAUACGUGUCAGCAGCCGCGGUAAUCUGAGCGGGCUGGCAAGGC
rnacentral:rRNA from 1 species